UGCUGAAUGAAAGUGAAGCCUUUUAGUUUUUUUGGAUAGUGACAGUUUUUUUAGUGUGAUUACCCAAAAAAUGUAAGAAAAAAUAGAUUUUAAUUAUUAGUAUUUUAAAGUAUUAAAUCACAGUAGUAAACAGUAAUACUGUACUGCAAUUUGUGUGUGUGUGUGUGUGUGUGUGUAUAUAUAUAUAAAUAUAUAUACUUAUGUGUGUACUUUAUGUACACACACAUAUACGCACAUAUGUAUGUUUUGUUUUGUGAAAAAAAUAUUAUGUAUAAGAAUCUAAGAACCGUCUGAAAUUUUCUUCUAAAAUGAGCAUUUUUAUCAGGCUCCUAUAUUUAUGUGUAGUUAUUUCACUUUAAUUGCAUAGAAAAGGACCUAUACAUUGCUAUUAGAGUAAACUUACUGAACCUAAACAUAGGAGCCUGAUAAAAAUACUCAUUUUAGAAGAAAAUUUCAGAUGGCACUUAAGAGGCUUUUGCAUCUGAACUCUUCAUACAGAGAGAGAGCGCGCGAGAGGUAAUUUAAAUAAUUAGUGUAUGUAAUAAAAUAUAACAUUAUUAUACGUAGUAUAAUAUUAGUAUAAUGUAAAGAUACUAUAUUAGGUAUAAAAGCAAUAUUUGCAAUAUAUUAGCAAUAAUGUGACCUAGAUAUGUUUUUGUGAGAUUCAUUUGAUGGUUAGAAAACUGAACAUGAACUGAACUAACAAAAAAAAAUGUCCAUAUACAGAUACAGUAUGCUGAAUUGAAUGUCAAACGCUUAAAUAGCUCACAUAAAUAUAGCAAAUGUGCCUUGUUAUGUAAGAGACAGACCAAGAACUAUGGCUCUACAAAUCAUGAAAAGGCACCAAGAAUCGCUGCUUUACAGUGCGAGUGACAUAACAUCUGCUGGAGAGAACAUCUUCAGUGUUCAGAAUCAAACUUCCCAGGAAAAACAUCAGUUCCUGGCUGGAGUUGGGAGAAUCUGAGCGCUGCAUACAUGAACAACCCUCUCUUUAUUUUUGACGAGGUUUGCCUUGGACAA
ensembl:lncRNA